GUGCUCACUUCAGCAGCACAUACACUAAAAUUAGAACAAUUCAGAGAAAGUUAGCAUGGUUCCUGCGCAAGAAGGAAAAAAAGAGUAACUGCCCAGGAGUGU